UACGGAGGAUCCAAGCGUUAUCCGGAAUCAUUGGGUUUAAAGGGUCCGUAGGCGGUUCGGUAAGUCAGUGGUGAAAGCCCAUCGCUCAACGGUGGAACGGCCAUUGAUACUGCCAGACUUGAAUUAUUAGGAAGUAACUAGAAUAUGUAGUGUAGCGGUGAAAUGCUUAGAGAUUACAUGGAAUACCAAUUGCGAAGGCAGGUUACUACUAAUGAUUGACGCUGAUGGACGAAAAGCGUGGGUAGCGAACAGG
rnacentral:rRNA from 1 species